UACGGAGGGUGCAAGCGUUGUUCGGAUUUACUGGGCGUAAAGCGCGCGCAGGUGGGUGAACAAGUCGGAAGUGAAAUCUUGAGGCUCAACCUCGAGGCUGCUCCCGAAACUGUUCGCCUAGGGACUGGUAGAGGCUGGUAGAAUCCCGGUGUAGCGGUGGAAUGCGUAGAGAUCGGGAAGAAUACCCGUGGCGAAGGCGGCCAGCUGGGCCAGGUCCGACACUGAGGCGCGAAAGCGUGGGGAGCAAACGG
rnacentral:rRNA from 1 species